AGUCAACAUGCCCAGGGGACGUGGAUAACCUCGGGAAACUGAGGAUAAACCGCGAUAGGUCAUCACUUCUGGAAUGGGUAAUGACUUAAACCUAUAUGGCCCCUGGAUUGGACUGCGGCCGAUCAGGCUGUUGGUGAGGUAAUGGCCCACCAAACCUGUAACCGGUACGGGCUCUGAGAGGAGGAGCCCGGAGAUGGGCACUGAGACAAGGGCCCAGGCCCUAUGGGGCGCAGCAGGCGCGAAACCUCUGCAAUAGGCGAAAGCUUGACAGGGUUACUCUGAGUGAUUUCCGUUAAGGAGAUCUUUUGGCACCUCUAAAAAUGGUGCAGAAUAAGGGGUGGGCAAGUCUGGUGUCAGCCGCCGCGGUAAUACCAGCACCCCGAGUGGUCGGGACGUUUAUUGGGCCUAAAGCAUCCGUAGCCGGUUCUACAAGUCUUCCGUUAAAUCCACCUGCUUAACAGAUGGGCUGCGGAAGAUACUAUAGAGCUAGGAGGCGGGAGAGGCAAGCGGUACUCGAUGGGUAGGGGUAAAAUCCGUUGAUCCAUUGAAGACCACCAGUGGCGAAGGCGGCUUGCCAGAACGCGCUCGACGGUGAGGGAUGAAAGCUGGGGGAGCAAACCGGAUUAGAUACCCGGGUAGUCCCAGCUGUAAACGAUGCAGACUCGGUGAUGAGUUGGC
rnacentral:rRNA from 1 species